rnacentral:rRNA from 1 species
CCUACGGGGGGCUGCAGUGGGGAAUCUUGCACAAUGGGGGAAACCCUGAUGCAGCGACGCCGCGUGAAGGAUGAAGCCCUUCGGGGUGUAAAGUUCUUUCGACGGGGACGAUAAUGACGGUACCCGGAGAAGAAGCUGCGGCUAACUACGUGCCAGCAGCCGCGGUAAUACGUAGGCAGCAAGCGUUGUUCGGAAUUACUGGGCGUAAAGAGUGCGUAGGCGGUUAACUAAGUUUGGUGUGAAAUCUCCCGGCUUAACUGGGAGGGUGCGCCGAAAACUGGCUAGCUAGAGUGUGGGAGAGGAUAGUGGAAUUCCUGGUGUAGCGGUGAAAUGCGUAGAUAUCAGGAGGAACACCUGCGGUGUAGACGGCUAUCUGGACCAUGACUGACGCUGAGGCACGAAAGCGUGGGUAGCAAACAGGCUUAGAUACCCCAGUAGUC